rnacentral:lncRNA from 1 species
GCUGGUGGUGGUUCGACGAUCAUAACAUCAUCAUCUCCGUCCAGUUUCUUGUCAAAUGGAGGUGCUUCAACUAGUGGAAGCACUGUCGGAGCCGACAACGCUAUGACUGGCUCAGUGCUAGGUUUAGGAAUGACUAUCGAUGGAGUGUCGGUCUGGGUCACCACCACUGAUUGAUGUCGGUCUGACUUUAAUUUGGCACCCUAAAGGGCCCCGCACCGGCUGCGGGCCUUCUCUUGGCGGCAAACAGUCGGACCUCUUCCACCGAAGGUCACCCAGU